rnacentral:rRNA from 1 species
AGUGAACGCUGGCGGUAGGCCUAACACAUGCAAGUCGAACGGCAGCACAGGAGAGCUUGCUCUCUGGGUGGCGAGUGGCGGACGGGUGAGGAAUACAUCGGAAUCUACUCUGUCGGGGGGGAUAACGUAGGGAAACUUACGCUAAUACCGCAUACGAACUACGGGUGAAAGCAGGGGACAUUCGGGCAGUGGGCGAUUGAAUGAGCCGAUGUCGGAUUAGCUAGUUGGCGGGGUACAGGCUCACCAAGGCGACGAUCCGUAGCUGGUGUGAGAGGAUGAUCAGCCACACUGGAACUGAGACACGGUCCAGACUCCUACGGGAGGCAGCAGUGGGGAAUAUUGGACAAUGGGCGCAAGCCUGAUCCAGCCAUACCGCGUGGGUGAAGAGGGCCUUCGGGUUGUAAAGCCCUUUUGUUGGGAAAGAAAUCCAGCUGGCUAAUACCCGGUUGGGAUGACGGUACCCAAAGAAUAAGCACCGGCUAACUUCGUGCCAGCCGCCGCCGUAA